GACUAAGAAGAGCUCAGAGGUUCCCAAACAGAAACUGAUUCUGCCUUUACUUUUUACGCCUCAGACAACAGGAAAUACUUUACACACACUUUUGAUUUUCCGGUAAAUGUUCUUCUUCUUCCUCUUCUUGCGUUGUCUUCUGACAGAACAGAUCUAACAUGGCGGGAGCUUGGGAACCACGGAUGGCUCAACUCAAUGUUCAGCUUUUACGAAUACUGGAAAAAUUGGAUGAUGAAGAUUUCAAGAGUCUCAAGUAGUACCUGAAAACCAAGACAGAAAUCCCAGUAUCCAAACUGGAGAAUGCAGGACGGCGGGAGAUGGCGGAUCUGCUGGUGCAGUACUUCCCCCAGGACGUGGAGAAUGUGAUAAUCACAUUUUUGAAGGACAUCAAAAGGAACGAUCUGGUUGUGCUUUUGUGACAAAACAACGCAGGAGACCAUCAGAGAUGAUGGGGUUGCCACAGUAACCGGCAGACGGACAGCCUCUUCGACGACCCAGACGGACACCUCAAGCUGCCUGAAAGUUCUUCUCAUACAUAAGUUAUUCUUCCAAAUAACUUAUUCUUAUUUAAGAAGCAGUCUGUUGGUGGACAACUACGUUAAAUAAAU